AUUCAGCUAACGAGUCCCAAAUAGGACGAAACGCGCGUCCUGGAU
rfam:Schistosoma mansoni, Puerto Rico, WGS project CABG01000000 data, contig: 0148